GCCCGCUACAGAAACUCAAAUGAAGUUGACGGGGGCCGCACAGCGGAGGAGCAUGUGGUUAAUUCGAUGAUACGCGAGGAACCUUACCUGGGCUCGAACGUAAGAUGACUGUAGGUGAAAGCUUACAUCUCUUCGGAGCAUUUUACGAGGUGCUGCAGUGGUUGUCGUCAGCUCGUGCCGUGAGGUGUCGGGUUAAGUCCCAUAACGAGCGCAACCCCUACCUUUAGUUGCCAUCAGGUUAAGCUGGGGACUCUAAAGGAACUGCCUACGCAAGUAGUGAGGAAGGCGGGGAUGACGUCAAAUCAGCACGGCCCUUACGUCCAGGGCUACACACGUGCUACAAUGGCCGAUACAGAGGGCAGCUACCUGGUGACAGGAUGCAAAUCUCCAAAGUCGGUCUCAGUUCGGAUCGGAGUCUGCAACCCGACUCCGUGAAGUCGGAAUCGCUAGUAAUCGUGAAUCAGAAUGUCACGGUGAAUACGUUCCCGGGCCUU
rnacentral:rRNA from 1 species